rnacentral:rRNA from 1 species
GGUGCCAGCAGCGCGGUAAUUCCAGCUCCAAUAGCGUAUAUUAAAGUUGUUGCAGUUAAAAGCUCGUAGUUGAAUUUCGGGGUUAGUAGGUUGGUCGUGCCACUGGUACGUACUGGUCUCACUGACUCCUCCUCCUGAUGAACUGUAAUGCCAUUAAUUUGGUGUUGCGGGGAAACUGGACUGUUACUUUGAAAAAUUAGAGUGUUUAAAGCAAGCUAACGCUUGAAUACAUUAGCAUGGAAUAAUGAAAUAGGACGUUUGAUUCUAUUUUGUUGGUUUCUAGGAUUGACGUAAUGAUUAAUAGGGAUAGUUGGGGGCAUUAGUAUUCAAUUGUCAGAGGUGAAAUUCUUGGAUUUAUUGAAGACUAACUACUGCGAAAGCAUUUGCCAAGGAUGUUUUCAUUAAUCAAGAACGAAAGUUAGGGGGAUCGAAGACGAUCAGAUACCGUCGUAGUCUUAACCAUAAACUAUGCCGACUAGGGAUCGGAUGAUGUUAAUUUUUUAAUGACUCAUUCGGCGCCUUACG